UACGUAGGGGGCAAGCGUUGUCCGGAAUCAUUGGGCGUAAAGCGCGUGUAGGCGGUCCGGUAAGUCCGCUGUGAAAGUCGGGGGCUCAACCCUCGGAUGCCGGUGGAUACUGUCGGGCUUGAGUACGGAAGAAGCGAGUGGAAUUCCUGGUGUAGCGGUGAAAUGGCGCAGAUAUCAAGGAGGAACACCAAUUGCGAAGGCAGCUCGCUGGGACGUUACUGACGCUGAGACGCGAAAGCGUGGGGAGCAAACAGGAUUAGAUACC
rnacentral:rRNA from 1 species